AACGAACGCUGGCGGCAUGCCUAACACAUGCAAGUCGAACGAGAUCUUCGGGUCUAGUGGCGCACGGGUGCGUAACGCGUGGGAAUCUGCCCUUUGGUUCGGAAUAACAGUUGGAAACGACUACUAAUACCGGAUGAUGACGAAAGUCCAAAGAUUUAUCGCCAGAGGAUGAGCCCGAGUAUGAUUAGCUAGUUGGUGUGGUAAAGGCGCACCAAGGCGACGAUCCUUAGCUGGUCUGAGAGGAUGAUCAGCCACACGGGGACUGAGACACGGCCCAGAGUCCUACGGGAGGCAGCAGUGGGGAAGAUUGGACAAUGGGCGAAAGCCUGAUCCAGCAAUGCCGCGUGAGUGAUGAAGGCCUUAGGGUUGUAAAGCUCUUUUACCCGGGAUGAUAAUGACAGUACCGGGAGAAUAAGCUCCGGCUAACUCCGUGCCAGCCGCCGCCGUAAAAC
rnacentral:rRNA from 1 species